rnacentral:rRNA from 1 species
CCUACGGGAGGCAGCAGUGGGGAAUUUUGGACAAUGGGCGAAAGCCUGAUCCAGCGACGCCGCGUGGAGGACGAAGGUCUUCGGAUUGUAAACUCCUUUUGCAGGGGACGAAAAAAAUGACGGUACUCUGCGAAUAAGCCACGGCUAACUACGUGCCAGCAGCCGCGGUAAUACGUAGGUGGCGAGCGUUACUCGGAAUCACUAGGCGUAAAGCGCGUGUAGGCGGUAUUUUAAGUCUGUUGUGAAAUCUUUGGGCCCAACCAAGAAAGGUCGACAGAUACUGAAGUACUAGAGUGAGGCAGGGGAAACGGAAAUUCCAGGGGUAGCGUUGAAAUGCGUAGAUAUCUGGAAGAACGCCAAGGGCGAAGGCAGGUUUCUGGGCUUUUACUGACGCUGAGACGCGAAAGCAAGGGGAGCAAACAGGAUUAGAUACCCCUGUAGU